GGAUCUCUAUGACUCCCCUCAAAGCAUUCCUUCAAAAGCUGAAUGAAAUGAAUGAUAACUCUCCACCAUAAACCUGAUCAGAAACAGAGGUCC
ensembl:snoRNA SNORD116 Small nucleolar RNA SNORD116